GUGCUUGGAACAGCAUUGCAUAUACUAACAUUGGAAUGAUCAGAGAAGAUCAGCCUUGUCCCAGCCUAAGGAUGGCACCCAAAUCUGGGAAGUGUUCCAUAGUUUU
rnacentral:snRNA from 1 species